rnacentral:rRNA from 1 species
CAGAGGGUGCAAGCGUUGUUCGGAAUUACUGGGCGUAAAGCGCGCGCAGGCGGAUCCUGCAAGUCCGGAGUGAAAUCUCACUGCUCAACGGUGGGGCUGCUUUGGAUACUGCGGAUCUGGAGACCGGUAGAGGCUGGUAGAAUUGCAGGUGUAGCGGUGGAAUGCGUAGAGAUCUGCAAGAAUACCCGUGGCGAAGGCGGCCAGCUGGGCCGGUUCUGACGCUGAGGCGCGAAAGCGUGGGGAGCAAACAGGAUUAGAUACCCUGGUAGUCCACGCCGUAAACGAUGGGCACUAGGUGCUGGGGGGAGCGACCCCGUCAGUGCCGUAGCUAACGCGAUAAGUGCCCCGCCUGGGGAGUACGGCCGCAAGGCUG